rnacentral:rRNA from 1 species
UACGGGGGGGAGCAAGCGUUGUUCGGAUUUACUGGGCGUAAAGGGCGCGAGUAGGCGGCGCAACAAGUCACUUGUAGAAAUCUCCGGGCUUAACCCGGAGCGGUCAAGUGAUACUGGUCGUGCUAGAGUGGCGGAAGGGGCUGAUCGUGGAAUUCUUGGGUGAUAGCGGUGAAAUGACGUCAGAUAUCGCAAGAGGGAACACCUGCGGCGAAGGCGGGUUGCUGGGCCGACACUGACGGCUGAGGCGCGAAAGCCAGGGGACGCGAACGGG